rnacentral:rRNA from 1 species
UACAGAGGGGGCAAGCGUUGUUCGGAAUUACUGGGCGUAAAGGGCGCGUAGGCGGCCUUCUAAGUCGAACGUGAAAUCCCCGGGCUCAACCCGGGAACUGCGUCCGAUACUGGAAGGCUUGAAUUCGGGAGAGGGAUGCGGAAUUCCAGGUGUAGCGGUGAAAUGCGUAGAUAUCUGGAGGAACACCGGUGGCGAAGGCGGCAUCCUGGACCGGCAUUGACGCUGAGGCGCGAAAGCCAGGGGAGCAACGGG